rnacentral:rRNA from 1 species
UACAGAGGUCUCAAGCGUUGUUCGGAUUCAUUGGGCGUAAAGGGUGCGUAGGCGGCGCGGUAAGUCGGGUGUGAAAUCUCGGAGCUUAACUGUGGGCGUGCGGUCGAUACGGGCAUCACUGGAGUUCGGCAGGGGAGACUGGAAUUCCUGGUGUAGCGGUGAAAUGCGCAGAUAUCAGGAAGAACACCAACGGCGAAGGCAGCUCGCUGGGACGGUACUGACGCUGAGACGCGAAAGCGUGGGGAGCGAACAGG